GAUUCUUCCAGGGCAAGGCAAAGGAUAAAUGGAGUUUUUAAGGAAGGCAGAUACUUAUUUUGCUGCUUUCUGUGCUAUUCCUCAUGCUUGCUUUGUGUUUGUGUGAUGUUCUGGGUGUGCCUGGGCACAGCCAGCCCAGGGCAGGAGUGACAACAACCCCCUGCACCAGCACCGGGUCCGGCUGUUAAAACAUGGGAUGGAACCUCCCUGGGAUUUGUGCCCCACGUGCUCCCUCCUGCUCUGCUGUGGGACUGGGACUGUGGACCUUGGAAAUACAUCAGGGCUUUGCAGGAUGGAGGGAGCAGUGGCUCCCUGUCACCUCCUGGGAGCUCAGAUGGAGCUGAAGGGGAUGAUCUGCUGACACAGCAGAUCCCACCCAGGUCCCUCUGCAGGGGAGAAUUGCUUUGUCAACAACUGUGAGAAGAAUCCUUUGCCUGAGAGCUCAACCCUGAGAGUGGGCAGGAAAAGCCUGGCUUUGCUGCUGGGAGGGGCUGAGGUGGUUCUUGUGGCUGCAGGAUUUUAAAUUCCAGGCUGUAGGUGAACUCAGCUCAGCUUUUCCUCCAGAGUUACCAGCAAAGCUUCCUCUGUCCCCUGCCAGUGAUGGAUCUGCUCUUAAACUGUGUAUAGUAACAGAAGACCUUCCCAAUGUGGAUGCUGACACUUGUCAAAAAUAAGGCUGAUAACCCAUAAAUUCCUUUAUUAUGUUUUUCUGGUGGGAAAUGUUGUCUAUUUUGUAAAAAAAACUAUGGAAAAUUGAAAAACAUUUCAGAUGCAAACUCUCCUCCCUCAUUUUCUCACAAAAGUUGGGGUUUGGUUUUCACAGAGUCACAGGUCACACAUCCUGUUGGAUCACAGAGCACAUCCUCGUUCCUUGGAGAUAUUUCAAAGUCAUCUGGGCUUGGGACCCAUCUUGAUCAGGGACGUUGGACUAAAUGACCUUCAGAGGUGCCUUCCAACCCCAAGCACUCCUGGCUGUGUGUGAUUCUGUGCUCUGUGUGAAGGGUGCUCAGCCUGUCCUGAGAACGGGGUGGCUCAGGGUCAAAUGAGGAGCUCCAGGCAUGGAUAGUUUUGUGGAAUUUUGAAGGUGAAAGGGACAAAAAUAGCCUGUGAUAUUUUGACAGCGGCAACUUCAUGAGAGCGGCCAAACCACUCAUGGCUGGUGUUGAGUCAGCCCCAAAUUGUGUUUGUGCUGCUCCCUGCAGGGCCCUCUGACUAAACCUGCUCUGAGGCCCGAGGAAGGAGCAGUGGCAAACAUCAGGGGGCCACACCAGGUCAUCCAUGUCCCUGUCCCACCCCAGGCAGGAGCACAUGGGACCUGCUGCCAGGGGCUGUCAGAAGCCUCUUGACCAAAAUGCUGAGAAAUGGUCCAAGUGUUUCAGAGGAGAGCAACAUGUCCCAGCACUUCCAGCCUGGGAACUGCAGUGCCCAGAGGCCACGGCAGCCAAGGACAUCGUGUCCAAGGGACAUGCAAAGACAAGGAUUUAUUGGCUCAGUAUAUCACUUCCAAGUGAUAAAGAUUUGCAGGCAGGUGUGACUUUGAGCAGACUUUAUGGAAAAAUCAAGGAUUACAAACCAUGCUGGUAUUUAUCAGGUGCAUCACAACUGUCUCAGAGCCCUCAGCCUUCUCUUUACUCCUUUCUUGCUGAUCCCUGGGAUUUCCUGCUCAGGAUGUCACCUGGUUACCCUCCUUGGAUCAAUUGUCUCCUGGUGCUGAGUGUCUUCACCUGGCAGGCUUUGGCAUCAUUAUAUCACCCCGUGCCCAGCAUUCCUGCAGGGCCAGGGCCAGACCCUCAGCCAGGCUCCUUGAGGCUCUUCCCAUUCCCUGUCUUCCAGGGAACAUGGAAAAAUUAGAGAAGCACAGAAUAGUUUGUGUUGGAAGGAACCGUAAAGCCCAUCCAGUGCCACCCCCUGCCAUGGGCAGGGACACCUCCCACCAGCCCAGGUUGCUCCAAGCCCUGUCCAGCCUGGCCUUGGACACUUCCAGGGAUCCAGGGGCAGCCACAGCUUCUCUGGGCAACCUGGGCCAGGGCCUCCCCACCCUCACAGGGAUGGAGAAAUCCAUCCAGUAUCCAACCUAAUCUUGCCCUUCGUCAGUUUAAAGCCAUUCCCCCUUGUCCUGUCACUCCAGGCCCUUGUAAAAAGUCUCUCUCCAUGUUGCAGGAUCCCUUCAGGUGCAAUGAGGUCACCUCAAAGCCUUCUCUUCUCCAGGCUGAACAAUCCCAAUUCUCCCAGCCUUUUCUCCCAGCAGAGCUGCUCCAUCCCUCUGAUCAUCCUGGUGCCUCCUCUGGACUCUCUCCAGCAGCUCCACGUCCUCCCUGUGCUGUUCCCCAGGGUUGGAGGCAGCUCUGCAGGGGGGUCUCAGCUGAGGGAGCAGAGGGGCAGAAUCCCCCUGCCCUGCUGCCCACACUGGGGGAUCAGCCCAGAAUGAUAUAAUUCCAGUGCUGGUCGAGACAGAAGAGAGAGGCUGGUGAUGGGAACACUUAAACAGCUGUGAAAAGGGAGCACUGAUUUGUUUAGCUAAGAAAUGAGAAAAGGUAAUUUAGAAAAAGAUAAUGAAGUCGUGUUGGUGCCUGUGCUUGAGAUCAGACAGCCAAGCAAAUGGGCAAGUGUGGUGGAGAGGAUCCCAGAAUCCCAGGAUGUGCUGAGUUGGGAGGGACCCACAAGGAUCAUCCAGUCCAACCCCUGGCCCUGCACAGGCCCAGCCCCAAGAGUCACCCCCUGUGCCCCAGAGCAUCAGCCAAACCCUCCUGGAGCUCUGGCAGCCUUGGGGCUGUGCCCACUGCCCUGGGGAGCCUGGGCAGUGCCCAACCAGCCUCUGGGGGAAGAAGCUUUGCCUGAGAUCCAACCUGAGCCUGCCCUGACACAGCUCCAGCCAUUCCCUGGCUGCUGUCCCUGCUCCCCCCAGAGCAGAGCUCAGUCCCUGCCCCUCCUCUGCCCCUGCCCAGGCAGUUGGAACUGCACUGAGGUCUCCCCUCAGUCUCCUCUGCUCCAGCUGAACACACCAAGUGCCCUCAGUGUCCUCACACGCCUUCAAAUCAAGGCCCUUCCCCAUCCUUGUGUCCCUCCUUUGGACACUCUCCAAUGGCUCAAUCCCUUCCUUCCAUUGUGUCCCCCCAAACUGCCCCAAUGUUGAGGUGAGGCCACUCCAGAGCAGAGCAGAGCAGGACAGUCCCCUCCCUGGUGCCCCAGGACAGGGUUGGCCCCCUCUGUGUGGCCGUGUCAGGAAGGGACAGGAAUGGACCAUUCCCUGCUGCCACGAACAAGUGGACAAAUACCUGAAAGCAGAAACCUCAUCUGGUGACCCUGCCCAGAGCACUCGUGAGGGAGGAGCUCCCCAAAUGCCACAGCAGGGAGAAAACCUGUGUCAGGUCUCAGGAGGUUCCCUGCCAGCCCACGAUCUGCACAUCUCCUCUCAGCACUCGCCUGCUGCUCUGCACACAGGACCAGCCAUCCCCUGGGAGAGCAGAAGGUGCCUGCAAGGGCUCAUCAGUUUGGGGUUGUGAUUCCUGGGGUGUCUGUGCAGGGCCAGCAGUUGGACUUGAUGAUCCUUGUGGGUCCCUUCCAGCUCAGGGGAUUCCCUGGUUCUGUGACCUGUGUGCUCACAGCACAUCGUGUUGGGUGCUGGCAGCGAGUUUUCCAACGUGGUUUGUUUGUGUCCAGAGGGUGGAACUGCAGCAGGAUCUGCUCUGACAUGUUUAAGGUGAGUCUGAAGAUGACUGUGUGUGUGAGCUCUUCCUUCAGGAAAGGACAUAUUCAGAUCAGAACAAGUUUAUGUUCAAGUAAACCGUGUCUGGACUGGAAGCCACAGGAAAUCAGAGUCACAGAGGACCAUCCAAACACUCCUGGAGCUCUGGCAGCCUUGGUGCUGGAAGGUUCUGCUUAAUACCCAUGAAAAAAUCCCCUGCUGCAAUCAGCAAAUAAGAUGAAACCCAAUUCUUUUGGGGGUGUUUUGCUGGGAUUCUGGAGGAACUCGUGGCAGUUACAACUCCUCCACAGGCUUUUUUUUGUUCCAUGACAGCCUUUCACCUCCACAGUGAGUUAUAUGAGCCAUUAAUUGUGCAGUUCCCAUUUCAGGAGGGUGAAGUCCCAUAUCCACAAAAACAGCCAGAUCUGAGAUAUUUUGCUGAAGAGACAUUUAAAGGUGGUCAAGAAGGACUUUCUUUUGGAUAAUGCAAUUCCCCUGCCUGAAACGAGGGAGAUACUUGAGUCCUGUCUUCUGGAACAAGGUGGAUCAGUGAAGCUGCUCUGCCUUUCUUGACAGCACCAUUAGUGGCAUCUGCUACUGCUGGAGGUGAAUUAAAACUUAACAAUAACAAUUCUGGGCUCUGGGCCAGUUUCCAAGUGGAAAAGGCAAAGAGACCUGACAGACUGUCUUCUUGAGGUUCACUGGCAACUCAGGUAAGGGAACUUCAGCAUUGGAAUGAACUGAUUUAAAACAUUUUGCUCUGAUCUGCAUUUCAAAGUAACUAUUCUGUAAAAUGUCCAGCCUGUUAAGACUGAACAAAUAGUUUCAAGAAGAUAAACCACUUUAUUUCCUUCAAUUAGCAGCUUAAAUUGUUCACUCCAAUUGAAAUCCAUUUCUUGCUUAAUUCAAAGUGAACCUCUGAGUUGCUGCGUGAUCCAACUCUCUACUGAAUUCCUCUACCUGCAGCUGGAUUUUGGUUUGAUAUCCUCAUUAUUCCACCUAAGAUAAAAUACUUGAUUUGGGGACUAAGAUGAUCCUGCAUCUCAGAGAGGUGUGGGAGUGGAGGACACACCUGCUUUCCUUUUUUGUUGCAGUGAGAAAAGCACAGGUGGAACAGAUUCUCCACAAAAUGUGGGGACAUCGUCCCCUGUGUGGAGGUGGAGACACAGCUCCAGGCUAUGCUAGUGCUGAAUGUUGAGUGGAAAAAGAUACUGUAACUUUGGUUUCCAAGCUGCAGGUGCGUUUACCUCAGAAAGGCCCAAGCCAGAAUAAAACUUCUUUGUUUUUAAUCACUGAAGUGGAAUUGUUUCAUUUUUCUUUUUGGCAAGGAAACUUGAAAACAUCUGCUUUAGUUUGGAUCAAAUGGAUUUUUUUUUCACUUUUUAACUUGGUGGUUGAACUGAAAAAUCAAUUAUUCACCCAGCCUUACUCCCAGCACAUGUCUAGGAGCAGAAACUCUUGUUUUUAUUCAAU